rnacentral:rRNA from 1 species
GGAGGAUUACACUUUUUGGAGNGUAAACUCCUUUUGUUAGGGAAGAAUAAUGACGGUACUCUAUAGGAAUAAGCACCGGCUAACUCCGUGCCAGCAGCCGCGGUAAUACGGAGGGUGCAAGCGUUACUCGGAAUCACUGGGCGUAAAGGACGCGUAGGCGGAUUAUCAAGUCUCUUGUGAAAUCCAACUGGUGAACCAGAUGAACUGC